rnacentral:rRNA from 1 species
CCGGAUUUAUUGGGUUUAAAGGGUGCGCAAGCGGGAGAUUAAGUCGGCGGUGAAAUUUUGCAUCUCAUCUGUAAAAGUGCCUUCGAAACUGGUUUCCUUGAGUGUGGAUGAAGUAGGCGGAAUUUGUGGUGUAGCGGUGAAAUGCAUAGAUAUCACGAGGAACUCCGAUUGCGCAGGCAGCUUACUAAACCAUAACUGACGCUCAGGCACGAAGGCGUGGGGAUCAAACAGGAUUAGAUACCCUGGGAGUCCACGCAGUAAACGAUGAUUACUAGCUGUUUGCGAUACAAUGUAAGCGGCUGAGCGAAAGCGUUAAGUAAUCCACCUGGGGAGUACGUUCGCAAGAAUGAAACUCAAAGGAAUUGACGGGGGCCCGCACAAGCGGAGGAACAUGUGGUUUAAUUCGAUGAUACGCGAGGAACCUUACCCGGGCUUGAAAUGCAUCUGACCGGCCUUGAAAGAGGCUUUCCCUUCGGGGCAGAUGUGUAGGUGCUGCAUGGUUGUCGUCAGCUCGUGCCGUGAGGUGUCGGCUUAAGUGCCAUAACGAGCGCAACCCUCAUCAUUAGUUACCAUCAGGUCAAGCUGGGGACUCUAAUGAGACUGCCAUCGUAAGAUGCGAGGAAGGUGGGGAUGACGUCAAAUCAGCACGGCCCUUACGUCCGGGGCGACACACGUGUUACAAUGGGUGGUACAAAGGGCAGCUACCUGGCGACAGGAUGCCAAUCUCCAAAACCACUCUCAGUUCGGAUCGGAGUCUGCAACUCGACUCCGUGAAGCUGGAUUCGCUAGUAAUCGCGCAUCAGC